UGAGUAACCUGCCCUUAACUCUGGGAUAAGCCUGGGAAACUGGGUCUAAUACUGGAUAUGACUCCUCAUCGCAUGGUGGGGGUGGAAAGCUUUAUUGUGGUUUUGGAUGGACUCGCGGCCUAUCAGCUUGUUGGUGAGGUAAUGGCUCACCAAGGCGACGACGGGUAGCCGGUCUGAGAGGGUGACCGGCCACACGUGGGACUGAGACACGGCCCAGACUCCGUACGGGAGCAG
rnacentral:rRNA from 1 species